rnacentral:misc_RNA from 1 species
GAUGAAGAACGUAGCGAAAUGCGAUAAGUAGUGUGAAUUGCAGAAUUCAGUGAAUCAUCGAAUCUUUGAACGCACAUUGCGCCCCCUGGUAUUCCGGGGGGCAUGCCUGUCCGAGCGUCAUUACAACCCUCAAGCUCAGCUUGGUGUUGGGCCCCGCCGCCCCGGCGGGCCCUAAAGUCAGUGGCGGUGCCGUCCGGCUCCGAGCGUAGUAAUUCUUCUCGCUCUGGAGGUCCGGUCGUGUGCUCGCCAGCAACCCCCAAUUUUUUUCAGGUUGACCUCGGAUCAGGUAGGGAUACCCGUUGAACUUAAGCAUAUCAAUAAGCGGAGGA